GGCUUACCAAGGCGACGAUCUGUAGCGGGUCUGAGAGGAUGAUCCGCCACACUGGAACUGAGACACGGUCCAGACUCCUACGGGAGGCAGCAGUGGGGAAUUUUGGACAAUGGGGGCAACCCUGAUCCAGCCAUGCCGCGUGAGUGAAGAAGGCCUUCGGGUUGUAAAGCUCUUUCGGCCGGGAAGAAAUCGCAUGGGCCAAUACCCUGUGUGGAUGACGGUACCGGAAUAAGAAGCACCGGCUAACUACGUGCCAGCAGCCGCGGUAAUACGUAGGGUGCGAGCGUUAAUCGGAAUUACUGGGCGUAAAGCGUGCGCAGGCGGUUUUGUAAGACAGGCGUGAAAUCCCCGGGCUUAACCUGGGAACUGCGUUUGUGACUGCAAGGCUAGAGUACGGCAGAGGGGGGUGGAAUUCCACGUGUAGCAGUGAAAUGCGUAGAGAUGUGGAGGAACACCAAUGGCGAAGGCAGCCCCCUGGGUCGAUACUGACGCUCAUGCACGAAAGCGUGGGUAGCAAACAGGAUUAGAUACCCUGGUAGUCCACGCCCUAAACUAUGUCAACUAGGUGUUGGGUGGGUAAAACCAUUUAGUACCGUAGCUAACGCGUGAAGUUGACCGCCUGGGGAGUACGGCCGCAAGGUUAAAACUCAAAGGAAUUGACGGGGACCCGCACAAGCGGUGGAUGAUGUGGAUUAAUUCGAUGCAACGCGAAAAACCUUACCUACCCUUGACAUGCCAGGAACUUGCCAGAGAUGGCUUGGUGCCCGAAAGGGAGCCUGGACACAGGUGCUGCAUGGCUGUCGUCAGCUCGUGUCGUGAGAUGUUGGGUUAAGUCCCGCAACGAGCGCAACCCUUGUCGUUAAUUGCCAUCAUUUAGUUGGGCACUUUAACGAGACUGCCGGUGACAAACCGGAGGAAGGUGGGGAUGACGUCAAGUCCUCAUGGCCCUUAUGGGUAGGGCUUCACACGUCAUACAAUGGUCGGUACAAAGGGUUGCCAAGCCGCGAGGCGGAGCCAAUCCCAGAAAGCCGAUCGUAGUCCGGAUUGCAGGCUGCAACUCGCCUGCAUGAAGUCGGAAUCGCUAGUAAUCGUGGAUCAGCAUGUCACGGUGAAUACGUUCCCGGGUCUUGUACACACCGCCCGUCACACCAUGGGAGCGGGUUCCGCCAGAAGUAGGUAGCCUAACCGCAAGGGGGGCGCUUACCACGGCGGGGUUCGUGACUGGGGUGAAGUCGUAACAAGGUA
rnacentral:rRNA from 1 species